rnacentral:rRNA from 1 species
GGUUCCAAUGAAAGUGGCGCACGGGUGCGUAACACGUAUGCAACCUACCUUAUACAGGGGGAUAGCCCGGGGAAACCCGGAUUAAUACCCCAUGGUAUAGACGAAUCGCAUGAUUUGUUUAUUAAAGAUUUAUCGGUAUAAGAUGGGCAUGCGUCUGAUUAGCUAGUUGGCGGUGUAACGGACCACCAAGGCUACGAUCAGUAGGGGUUCUGAGAGGAAGGUCCCCCACACUGGCACUGAGAUACGGGCCAGACUCCUACGGGAGGCAGCAGUAGGGAAUAUUGGGCAAUGGACGAGAGUCUGACCCAGCCAUGCCGCGUGCAGGAAGACGGCCUAUUGGUUGUAAACUGCUUUUAUACGGGAAGAAAAGGCCCAUGCGUGGGACAUUGCCGGUACCGUAUGAAUAAGCACCGGCUAACUCCGUGCCAGCAGCCGCGGUAAUACGGAGGGUGCAAGCGUUGUCCGGAUUUAUUGGGUUUAAAGGGUGCGUAGGCGGCUGAUUAAGUCAGCGGUGAAAGACUUCGGCUCAACCGGAGCAGUGCCGUUGAUACUGGUUAGCUUGAGUAUUGGAGGGGUACAUGGAAUUGAUGGUGUAGCGGUGAAAUGCAUAGAUACCAUCAGGAACACCGAUAGCGAAGGCAUUGUACUGGCCAAUAACUGACGCUGAUGCACGAAAGCAUGGGUAGCGAACAGGAUUAGAUACCCUGGUAGUCCAUGCCGUAAACGAUGAUUACUCGCUGUUAUUCUUUAGGGAGUAGCGGCCAAGCGAAAGCGUUAAGUAAUCCACCUGGGGAGUACGCCGGCAACGGUGAAACUCAAGGAAUUGACGGGGGUCCGCACAAGCGGUGGAGGAUGUGGUUUAAUUCGAUGAUACGCGAGAACUUACUGGGCUAGAUGUGAAGAUGAUUUAGAGAUAGAU